GUUUUAAGGCCUCGCCUGCGGUGGCCGCGGGCGCCAGGCUCUCCCGGUCUCCGGCGGAGCCACCCCGGGGUGCGCAUCGCCUGCCGGAGCGCGGGGGGGGGGGGGGGGGGCGGGAGGCGUCUGGGCUGGUGGCGGAGUCAGCUGUGUGAUGGCAGAAUUUAUCCGUCCUUGGGUGGUUUGAACUUGUUGCAAUCUAUUCAGCGUUUUGUCAAGAUUUAAUAGAACAUUUGCUGCUUUUCUAAGAACACUGUGAGGUCGCACUGGUGUGAUCCCCCCGCCCCCCCCCCCCCCCAUGUUACAAGUGAGAAGAUGAGGCUCUGAUGAGGUAAGUUAUUUGUCUGAGGUCUCGCUGACAGUAAGAGAGAACGUCAGGAUGUGAAGCCAGGUGGUUUGAUUCCAGAAACUAUGUUCUUAAGCACGUCCCUGUAUUUUCCAUACUUACCGUAAAAUACAAAUUCAUGAAAGGGAUAUGGUACGUUUUACUGCAAAUGACAGUGUAGCAGGACUUGAAAUUAUAACUCUUUAUUUUAGGAACGUUGAGGGGCAGGGUCCUGAUCUUGACCCCCUACACAACCAUAAUUUGGGCAUGAGACAACCACACCUUCCUAUUGCUUGAGAUGCUUUUCUGCCUUUAUUUCUCUGGCAAACUUUAUCUUCAUUGGUGAACUCCAAGUCAGAGGUCGCCUACUUCCCAGAGCCUUUCCCAGUAAACCCAGCGAGAAUUAAUUCUGUUCCCCCCUGCUCUGUUCCCAGCGUGGCUUGAAGAUGCUGUAAUACAGUCUUGUCGCUGUUUGGGGCUGCUUCCAUGCCUGUCCUCCCCACUAGACCGGAGUAACUCAGGGCAAGAACUCGCCCUUCUCCCUGCCCCAUCUCUACUGCCCUGCACACGGUCAGGUGUCCCGAGGAAGCUUUAGGAAUUGCUGCUGGAUUGUCAGCUUGAGAGGAUUAACCUGGGGGCAGUGUUCUCCUAUUUGGCUCCGGUGACCGCGGAGACAUUUUCUUUUUGAAAUUGUACUGAAAUAGAGCUCAGGGUGAUUUUACUACAUUUCAAAACAUUCUGGGAAGGGUCCAGAAGCUUCAUAAAAUUGCCAGGAGUCCACAGUAGAAAAAAGGUCCAGACCGCCUUUAUCUGGCAUGUUCCGGACAGAGGCCGCUCCGCUGGCCGGGUCCUGGGCAGGUGACCACAAGGCACAGAGCCCUGACUCUGGGGGACACUGGGAGGGGCUGAGCAGGCUUCAGUUUCCCCUGAGAUGGACACUGUCCUCACAGCCUAAUCUACACUCUCUCUCUGUGUCUGCGUGUGGAUUCCUAGAUGCCGGUCCAGAUCUUUCAUGCCAUCAAUGGUUCUGAGGCGGCAAUCUGGAUGGCGACAGUUGAAAUGUCCUUUCUCCAAGUCUCACGGUUUUUCCUUUGACUCUGAGGGAAGAGCCAAGGCUUUCUGGGCAUCACUGAUGUCUGUGGAGGGACAAGUUGGUUUUGGAACAUCAGGGUCUAGUUCUAAAGCUGGCACCCCGUCCACUCUGGGGGCAACCUCUGGGAACUCCCACAGGGCUCAGGCUUGAGGAGCUGGGGCUUGGUCUGCUUGCUUUGCAACUGGGUGAGAUGAUCGCGAGUUGCCUUACUUCCACAAAUGCUUUCCCGAGUUGGGAAAUUCCCCCCCCCAACGCACGCCCUCCCCCCCCACCCCCGCCCUCACCAGAGUGUACGUGUCCCAGCAAUCCACUGUUGCAUUUUCAAUCCUUUCAAUGGGCACCUUCUUCCAGAUAGGAACCAGACCAAAUCCCUUACUCUUCAGAGAGUUUAUUGAGCACCAUCCCUAGUUACUUCACUAAAUUUAGACCUUCCAUGAGGGUCAUGAUUCUCUUUCAGGUGGAGAUCAGAUGAAAACCUGGAGCAUGCACGCAGGGUAAGGAGACGCUCCCGACGACUUUGCCUUGAGAUGUGCUUCGUGCACAUUUUCUCUUUGCCUCUCCGUUAGGUGGGUUAGGGGAGCGGACGUUCAGGGCAGCCUCUCCCGGUAGUGACAAGUUAUCUGUUUCUAGAUGUAAAACGGGGAUCUCAUCAGAGAUCAGGACAUGAACUAAUCCAAGUUUUGCUUUUGUGUUCCAUUUUGCCUCCAAGUCAAUCUUGGCUCUGGCGUGGUUCCCGUUCAUUUUAACAGCAUAAGAUGAAUUAAGGGCUUUUAGUACAUUACAAGACUCCAAAUCUCUACAAAGGUCUUACGAGAAACGUUCGCUGAAGUCCUUUUGGCCUCAUAUGCCUUUGCCUUUCUGGUUGCUGGAAAUGGAGUAUCACACAUUGCUAGCUCUACUCAUUAUUUUCAGCAAAUGCUACCCAAGCUCUGCCAGGUUUACAAAGUCAAAAUACUCAUGUGCAAAUAAUACCUUUAAUGGGUGUGUUUUCACGUCCUAAAGUGCUCAGACACUAUGGCAAUGAGCACAGGGUGAUUCACUAAUGGAAUGCACUAUGGAUUUCAUCAACCUUUGUCUAUAAACGUUGAUGUGCAUUUUCUCUCUUACCCAUGAUGUUUGCAGUAUGGGCCCGGGAGCGCAAAUCAAUUUCUUUCCAAAGAUCUUCAAGUAAGAGGUCUGCCUCGUUCUUCAUUCUGACCAUUGUUUCUUUCAGAUCUUGAAAUUCAUGUACUGCUUUCAGUUGCAGACUUAGCUGCAUGAUUUGUUCCCUAGAGACAAAAUGAGAGUAAACGUAGCAAAGCUUAUGUUACUUUUGAUAGAUCAGUGAAAAACGCCUAAAAAUUGCCCUCAUUAUUAGGUAGCCUCAUCGUUAGAAUGCAUCCCUCUUCCCUGAUGUGUUGUUUGACAGCUUAUAGCUCUGUUUAUGGUUUACCUCUUUGUUGCCAAUUCAGCUGCCUGGACUGUUUCAGCACUCACUCAAAAUAAGAUCAGCAUACAAGGUCUAGUAGAACAAAGGCUUUGAAUCUUUCAAUUUCAACUGUUUAUACUCUUUCUGCCUCCCUUCGCUUUGGGUUUUCAAAAACAGGAAUUCCGACAUGGUUCAUUUAAAUCAAUGAGAUCCAAUCUACAUUCAGUUUUCAACACAGAAGUCCUCACCCCGCCUUCGGUAAAAACCAGUUCUAUCUUUAGAAUAAAUCUUGCUUGCAGCCAGGUUCCUUCUAGUACCACUUCUGUACGAGGUCUCAACUUUUUUUUUUUACAUUUAUUUAUUUGUUUUGAGGGGGGCGUGCAGAGAGAGAGAGGGAGAGAGAGAGAGAGAGACAGAAUCCCAAGCAGGCUCUGUGCUGUCAGUGCAGAGCCCGAUGUGGGGCUCAAACUCCUGAACUGUGAGAUCAUGACUGAGCUGAAAUCAAGACUCUAUGCUUAACUGACUAAGCCACCCAAAGGUCUUAAUUUUUAAUUCCCAUGAGUGACAAGGAGGUUUCCUUGUUGUGAGUAUCCUCGGUACAUUCAUUCUCCUCACCUCCUUCUCAAUAGCACACAUCUUGGUUCCACUUCAAUUACUGGGUUCAGCACCCACAGUGGGUUCAAGUGAAUAAUUGCUAUACAUCCCUCGUGAUCAGGAUAUUCAGUGUAAAUCUUGAAAAGCACAGCUGAGGAAAAUUACAAUAUGAAUCCACGGUGCUAAUUUAUCUCCGUGGAAGUGCCAAGCAUUAGCUAACGUUUCCGAGCAUUUUCUGCUCUAACUCUCCCUUCUAAUUUACAGACUUUUCCUUCGGGGGCCAACUGUCAGGACUACAAUUCACCAGGCUAAUAAUAAUAAUAACAACAACAAUAACAGUGCAAUACAAUGUAGUUACUAUUAUAAUUAGUACUCUUGAAGCACUUAUAAUGCAUCAGACAUCGAGCUAAGUGGCUUGUCUGAGUAAUUCUCACAAGAAACCUUGAAAUAGAGACUGUAUCCCCUUUUUGUUGAUGAAGAAACAGAAGGUUGGAGAAGCUAAAUAACUUGUCCACGGCCACACAGCAGUAAGUGAUUUCAGUCAUGGAAUCUAUCAUGACGCCCUGGGUUCCCUGUCCUCCCCUCCCCCUUCCUUUGCAAUUUGCCCAGCCGACCUCUGCUGUAGAACUAAACCCAGCCUGGAGAACAUCAGCUGGGAGAGGGUGGCCUCUGCUGUCGGGGGUCCCUCCGCGAGGCAAUGGCCAAUGAAGUACAAAGAGGUGGAAGGAUGGAGAAGGAAACGUAUGUCUUUUUCUGAAGAAAUCACGGAAGGCGUCCAGGAGGAGGUGGUGUUUUGGUGGUUGCUAACGAGGAAUAGGAGCUCAGCAGGCAGAGCAGGAGAGGGCAGG